UCUAUCAGAAGACAUCUUGCCUAAUAAAAGC
rnacentral:piRNA from 1 species